rnacentral:siRNA from 1 species
UGGUGAUGUGUCAUUCAUUUGAAG